GAUGAAGAACGUAGCGAAAUGCGAUAAGUAAUGUGAAUUGCAGAAUUCCGUGAAUCAUCGAAUCUUUGAACGCACAUUGCGCCCGCCAGUAUUCUGGCGGGCAUGUCUGUUCGAGCGUCAUUUCAACCCUCAAGCCCCCGGGCUUGGUGUUGGGGCUCGGCCCGUCCCUAGCGGAUGCGCCGUCCCCGAAAUCUAGUGGCGGUCUCGCUGUAGCCUCCUCUGCGUAGUAGCUAACACCUCGCAAUGGGAACGCAGCGCGGCCACGCCGUUAAACCCCCCACUUCUGAAGGUUGACCUCGGAUCAGGUAGGAAUACCCGCUGAACUUAAGCAUAUCAAUAAGCGGAGGA
rnacentral:misc_RNA from 1 species